ACUGUCUUCUGAUCCAGGAAUGUGCGUGGUGUGUCUGUCCAGGUGAUACUGCUCUGGUUGCUGCCUGUGCCCUACCCCCAGCCUUGGUUUUGGAGUUGAGUAAGUCACCAUCACUGGAGCCCUCUCUUUAAAAGAUGAAAACAUUUGCUCCUUCUCCCUGGUUGGGGACUUGGAUGAGAUGAGGUGCCCUCACCUCCAGUGGCAUCCAUCCAGACACCAGCACUGACACUGGCCGUGCUCAGAUCUGCCUCAGCCCUGAAGACACAACUGACAAAUAGAAGGGGGCCAUGCCCUGUUACAGCAGGUGCUCUCACUUUGUGGGUCCUUA